CGGGUGAGUAAUAUAUCGGAACGUGCCCAGUCGUGGGGGAUAACGCAGCGAAAGCUGCGCUAAUACCGCAUGUGAUCUGUGGAUGAAAGCGGGGGACCGUAAGGCCUCGCGCGAUUGGAGCGGCCGAUAUCAGAUUAGGUAGUUGGUGGGAUAAAAGCCUACCAAGCCGACGAUCUGUAGCUGGUCUGAGAGGACGACCAGCCACACUGGGACUGAGACACGGCCCAGACUCCUACGGGAGGCAGCAGUGGGGAAUUUUGGACAAUGGGCGCAAGCCUGAUCCAGCAAUGCCGCGUGCAGGACGAAGGCCUUCGGGUUGUAAACUGCUUUUGUACGGAGCGAAACGGUCUGGGAUAAUACCCUGGGCUAAUGACGGUACCGUAAGAAUAAGCACCGGCUAACUACGUGCCAGCAGCCGCGGUAAUACGUAGGGUGCGAGCGUUAAUCGGAAUUACUGGGCGUAAAGCGUGCGCAGGCGGUUUUGUAAGACAGGCGUGAAAUCCCCGGGCUCAACCUGGGAAUGGCGCUUGUGACU
rnacentral:rRNA from 1 species